rnacentral:rRNA from 1 species
ACGCUCGACACCUAGAGGCAGCAGUGGGGAAUAUUGCACAAUGGGGGAAACCCUGAUGCAGCGACGCCGCGUGAAGGAAGAAGUAUUUCGGUAUGUAAACUUCUAUCAGCAGGGAAGAAGAUGACGGUACCUGACUAAGAAGCCCCGGCUAACUACGUGCCAGCAGCCGCGGUAAUCUGAGCGGGCUGGCAAGGC